rnacentral:rRNA from 1 species
GACGAACGCUGGCGGCGUGCUUAACACAUGCAAGUCGAACGGAAAGACCCUGCUUUUGUGGGGUUCUCGAGUGGCGAACGGGUGAGUAACACGUGAGUAACCUGCCCUUGACUUUGGGAUAACUUCAGGAAACUGGGGCUAAUACCGGAUAGGAGCUCCUGCUGCAUGGUGGUGGUUGGUAAGUUUCGGCGGUUGGGGAUGGACUCGCGGCUUAUCAGCUUGUUGGUGGGGUAGUGGCUUACCAAGGCUCUGACGGGUAGCCGGCCUGGGAGGGUGACCGGCCACAUUGGGACUGAGGUACGGCCCAGACUCCUACGGGAGGCAGCAGUGGGGAAUAUUGCACAAUGGGCGGAAGCCUGAUGCAGCAACGCCGGGUGCGGGAUGACGGCCUUCGGGUUGUAAACCGCUUUCGCAUGUGACGAAGCGUGAGUGACGGUAAUGAGUAAAGAAGCACCGGCUAACUACGUG